rnacentral:sRNA from 1 species
AAUAUUGGUUAGGAGGAGCCAGGUCAGGCCCAA